rnacentral:rRNA from 1 species
AUCGAACGCUGGCGGCAGGCCUAACACAUGCAAGUCGAACGAGUGGCGGACGGGUGAGUAAUGUCUGGGAAACCGCCUGAUGGAGGGGGAUAACGACUGGAAACGUUAGCUAAUACCGCAUACCAUCAGAUGUGCCCAGAGGGGAUUAGCUUGUUGGUGGGGUAACGGUGCACUAAGGCGACGAUCCCUAGUUGGUCUGCGAGGAUGACCAGCCAGACUGGAACGGUGACACGGUCCAGACUCCUACGGGAGGGAGCAGUGGGAAAUAUGGCGCAUUGGGCGCAAGCCUGAUGCAGCCAUGCCGCGUGUAUGAAGAGGGCCUUCGGGUUGUAAAGUACUUUCAGCGGGGAGGCGUUACCCGCAGAAGAAGCACCGGCUAACUCCGUGCCAGCAGCCGCGGUAAUAC